rnacentral:lncRNA from 1 species
AGCCCAUCUAUCACACAUGAAAAGGAUGAAUACUGAAGACCAGAUGUUGAACAGGCCAGAUAUCAAAAAAUGGCCAGUGCAUCUCUUCGGUUUUAAUACCUGGAAGACGCAAGCAGUUUGUCAUUUGGUCCUGUGUGAAAGCUAGAGCCUUCUCCUUUGUAAUGCCAUCUGAUCUACAGGGACGGAGCCAUCUCCUCAUCCGUCAGGACCUCACUAACCCACUACAUUGGCAAACCAUGUGCAUGGAUCCCUGAAAUAAGCAGUAAGUACCUUCUACAUUUUAGUAAGGCCAAUAUGGUAAGUUUUAAC